rnacentral:rRNA from 1 species
GCAGCACGGGGUUUACCCUGGUGGCGAGUGACGAACGGGUGAGGAAUACAUCGGAACGUGUCUAUAAGUGGGGGAUAACGCAUCGAAAGGUGUGCUAAUACCGCAUAAUCUCUCAGGAGAAAAGCAGGGGAUCGCAAGACCUUGCGCUUUAGGAGCGGCCGAUGCCUGAUUAGCUUGUUGGUAAGGUAAAAGCUUACCAAGGCUUCGAUCAGUAGCUGGUCUGAGAGGACGACCAGCCACACUGGGACUGAGACACGGCCCAGACUCCUACGGGAGGCAGCAGUGGGGAAUUAUGGACAAUGGGGGGAACCCUGAUCCAGCCAUGCCGCGUGAGUGAAGAAGGCCUUCGGGUUGUAAAGCUCUUUCAGCCGGAACGAAACGGUUACGAUUAAUACUCGUAAUUAAUGACGGUACCGGCAGAAGAAGCACCGGCUAACUACGUGCCAACAGCCGCGGUAAUACGUAGGGUGCGAGCGUUAAUCGGAAUUACUGGGCGUAAAGGGUCCGCAGGUUGUUUUGUAAGUCAGAUGUGAAAGCCCCGGGCUUAACCUGGGAACUGCGUCUGAAACUACAAGGCUAGAGUAUGGCAGAGGGGGGUGGAAUUCCGCGUGUAGCAGUGAAAUGCGUAGAUAUGUGGAGGAACACCGAUGGCGAAGGCAGCCCCCUGGGUCAAUACUGACGCUGAGGGACGAAAGCAUGGGGAGCAAACAGGAUUAGAUACCCUGGUAGUCCAUGCCCUAAACGAUGUCAACUAGUUGUCGGGCCUUUACGGGCUUGGUAACGUAGCUAACGCGUGAAGUUGACCGCCUGGGGAGUACGAUC